UGAGAUACCACCCUCGUGUUCCGAUGCCACUCACCUGUAGUGUUAGAAGGGCGUAUAUCGAAUAUCGUAUAUCGAAUGUCGCAAGACAGUUUCGAUAUACGACAUACGAAAUUCGACAUUCGAUUGUCGCGCUUUUCUACCACUACAGGGACAUUGCUUGCUGGGCAGUUUAACUGGGGCGGUUGCCUCCGAAAAUGUAACGGAGGCGCGAAAUGGUCCACUAGCAGCGGAUGGAAAUCGCUGUUGUCGUGUAAUCGCACAAGUGGGCUUAACUGUGAGACGAACAUGUCGAUCAGAAGCGAAAGCUGGUGAUAGUGAUCCGGCAACCGGGCAAUUUAUUUUGCCCUUACCACGUGGGUGGGUUG
rnacentral:rRNA from 1 species